rnacentral:rRNA from 1 species
CCUACGGGAGGCAGCAGUGGGGAAUAUUGGACAAUGGGGGAAAGCCUGAUGCAGCGACGCCGCGUGAGGGAAGAAGUAUCUCGGUACGUAAAGCUCUAUCAGCAGGGAAGAAAAGGACGGUACCUGAAUAAGAAGCCCCGGCUAACUACGUGCCAGCAGCCGCGGUAAAAAGUAGGGGGCAAGGGUUAUCCGGAUUUACUGGGUGUAAAGGGAGCGAAGACGGCAGCACACGUCUGGAGUGAAAUCCCGGGGUUUAACCCCGGAACUGCUUUGGAAACUGUGCGGCUGGAGUGCAGGAGGGGUAAGCGGAAUGCGUGGUGUAGCGGUGAAAUGCGUAGAUAUUAGGAGGAACACCGGUGGCGAAGGCAGCUUACUGGACUGUAACUGACGUUGAGGCUCGAAAGCGUGGGGAGCAAACAGGAUUAGAUACCCGUGUAGUC